AAGGACUCAAGUGUAACAACUCUGAAGGAGAAUCACCAGAGAGCUGGAUGACUGUGACAGAUAUCUCUCUUCCUGACUCUCUGAGUGUCAGUCCUGACAGAUCUCAGUUCUUUAAAUAUGAGUCUGUUUUUCUGAGCUGUGAGGUUCAGGGGAACUCUGCUGGAUGGAGAGUGAUGAGGAACGCAGAGAGAGGAAUCCUUUCAGAGUGUAAUACUGACUGGGGAAAACAACAAGGGUCUUCAUGCCUCAUGUCACUAAUACCAUCAGACACUGGAGUGUACUGGUGUGAGUCUGGGUCUGGAGAACACAGCAAUGCUGUCAACAUCACUGUACAUGAUGGAGCUGUG